rnacentral:rRNA from 1 species
AUUGAACGCUGGCGGCAGGCCUAACACAUGCAAGUCGAACGGUAACAGGAAGAAGCUUGCUUCUUUGCUGACGAGUGGCGGACGGGUGAGUAAUGUCUGGGAAACUGCCUGAUGGAGGGGGAUAACUACUGGAAACGGUAGCUAAUACCGCAUAACGUCGCAAGACAAAAGAGGGGGACCUUCGGGCCUCUUGCCAUCGGAUGUGCCCAGAUGGGAUUAGCUAGUAGGUGGGGUAACGGCUCACCUAGGCGACGAUCCCUAGCUGGUCUGAGAGGGUGACCAGCCACACUGGAACUGAGACACGGUCCAGACUCCUACGGGAGGCAGCAGUGGGGAAUAUUGCGCAAUGGGCGCAAGCCUGAUGCAGCCAUGCCGCGUGUAUGAAGAAGGCCUUCGGGUUGUAAAGUACUUUCAGCGGGGAGGAAGGGAGUAAAGUUAAUACCUUUGCUCAUUGACGUUACCCGCAGAAGAAGCACCGGCUAACUCCGUG